UACGUAGGGGGCAAGCGUUGUCCGGAUUUACUGGGCGUAAAGGGCGCGUAGGCGGCCACUGCAAGUCAGUUGUGAAAUCUCCGGGCUUAACCCGGAAAGGUCAACUGAUACUGCAGGGCUAGAGUGCAGAAGGGGCAACUGGAAUUCUCGGUGUAGCGGUGAAAUGCGUAGAUAUCGAGAGGAACACCUGCGGCGAAGGCGGGUUGCUGGGCUGACACUGACGCUGAUGUGCGAAAGCUAGGGGAGCGAACGGG
rnacentral:rRNA from 1 species